CGCACGGGUGCGUAACGCGUGGGAAUCUGCCCUUCGGUUCGGAAUAACAGUUAGAAAUGACUGCUAAGACCGGAUAAUGACGUAAGUCCAAAGAUUUAUCGCCGAAGGAUGAGCCCGCGUAGGAUUAGCUAGUUGGUGAGGUAAAAGCUCACCAAGGCGACGAUCCUUAGCUGGUCUGAGAGGAUGAUCAGCCACACUGGGACUGAGACACGGCCCAG
rnacentral:rRNA from 1 species